UAGGAAUAUGUCCAGAGGUGGGGACAACCCGGGAAACUGGGGCUAAUACCGCAUAUGAGCUGAGGCUCAAAGCAGUGAUGCGCCUUUGGAGUAGCCUGCGUCCGAUUAGCUUGUUGGUGGGGUAAUGGCCUACCAAGGCGACGAUCGGUAGCUGGUCUGAGAGGACGACCAGCCACACUGGGACUGAGACACGGCCCAGACUCCGUACGGGAG
rnacentral:rRNA from 1 species